CCUACGGGUGGCAGCAGUGAGGAAUAUUGGUCAAUGGGCGAGAGCCUGACCCAGCGAAGUCGCGUGAGGGAGUACUGCCCUAUGGGUUGUAAACCUCGUUUGUCGGGGAGCAAGAGCCGGACGUGUCCGGCUGUGAGAGUACCCGAAGAAACAGCAUCGGCUAACUCCGUGCCCGCAGCCGCGGUAAUACGGAGGAUGCGGGUGUUAUCCGGAUUUAUUGGGGUUAAGGGGUGCGCAGUCGGAUUUUAAAGUCAGCGGGAAACUCGUGGGGCCCAACCCCAUCCAGCCGUUGAAACUGGGGAUCUAGAGUGUGCGAGAGGUAUGCGGAAUGCGUGGUGUAGCGGUGAAAUGCAUAGAUAUCACGCAGAACCUCGAUUGCGAAGGCAGCAUACCGGUGCACAACUGACGCUCAGGAACGAAAGCGUGGGUAGCGAACAGGAUUAGAUACCCCUGUAGUC
rnacentral:rRNA from 1 species